GACGAACGCUGGCGGCGUGCUUAACACAUGCAAGUCGAACGGAAAGGCCCUGCUUUUGUGGGGUGCUCGAGUGGCGAACGGGUGAGUAACACGUGAGUAACCUGCCCUGGACUUUGGGAUAACUUCAGGAAACUGGGUCUAAUACCGGAUAGGAGCUCCUGCUGCAGGGUGGGGGGUGGAAAGUUUCGGCGGUUGGGGAUGGACUCGCGGCUUAUCAGCUUGUUGGUGGGGUAGUGGCUUACCAAGGCUUUGACGGGUAGCCGGCCUGAGAGGGUGAACGGCCACAUUGGGACUGAGAUACGGCCCAGACUCCUACGGGAGGCAGCAGUGGGGAAUAUUGCACAAUGGGCGGAAGCCUGAUGCAGCAACGCCGCGUGCGGGAUGACGGCCUUCGGGUUGUAAACCGCUUUCGCCUGUGACGAAGCGUGAGUGACGGUAAUGGGUAAAGAAGCACCGGCUAACUACGUG
rnacentral:rRNA from 1 species